rnacentral:rRNA from 1 species
AUUGAACGCUGGCGGCAGGCCUAACACAUGCAAGUCGAGCGGAUGAAGGGAGCUUGCUCCUGGAUUCAGCGGCGGACGGGUGAGUAAUGCCUAGGAAUCUGCCUGGCAGUGGGGGAUAACGUCCGGAAACGGGCGCUAAUACCGCAUACGUCCUGAGGGAGAAAGUGGGGGAUCUUCGGACCUCACGCUAUCAGAUGAGCCUAGGUCGGAUCAGCUAGUUGGUGGGGUAAAGGCCUACCAAGGCGACGAUCCGUAACUGGUCUGAGAGGAUGAUCAGUCACACUGGAACUGAGACACGGUCCAGACUCCUACGGGAGGCAGCAGUGGGGAAUAUUGGACAAUGGGCGAAAGCCUGAUCCAGCCAUGCCGCGUGUGUGAAGAAGGUCUUCGGAUUGUAAAGCACUUUAAGUUGGGAGGAAGGGCAGUAAGUUAAUACCUUGCUGUUUUGACGUUACCAACAGAAUAAGCACCGGCUAACUUCGUG